ACCAAUAACUUUGUACUAUCAAUUAAGUGGAUUACAAGAUGAAAUUGAAAUAAUAAAUCCUAAGUUUUGGAGUGAGCAGCAAUACAUUAAUUGCAUUUCUGGUUCACCAGAAAAUAAUGACUACGCCGAGAGGAGUUUCCAUUUUGAUUUUGAGAGUCUGGAACUCGAAACAAGUCAUAAAGAUACAGUGCAAGAAAUAGAAAAUGACAAUAAAAUUGAAACAACUCAAUGUCAACUUAGUGACUCUAACGAAAAUGUUUGAAAUAUUUUAAAUAUUAAUUACAAUUAAUACAAAAUUCAUACAAGAGAAAAUUAAAAUAUACCUUUAUAUGAACAC